rnacentral:rRNA from 1 species
AUGAACGCUGGCGGCGUGCUUAACACAUGCAAGUCGAACGGUGAACACGGAGCUUGCUCUGUGGGAUCAGUGGCGAACGGGUGAGUAACACGUGAGCAACCUGCCCCUGACUCUGGGAUAAGCGCUGGAAACGGCGUCUAAUACUGGAUACGAGUAGCGGCCGCAUGGUCAGUUACUGGAAAGAUUUAUUGGUUGGGGAUGGGCUCGCGGCCUAUCAGCUUGUUGGUGAGGUAAUGGCUCACCAAGGCGUCGACGGGUAGCCGGCCUGAGAGGGUGACCGGCCACACUGGGACUGAGACACGGCCCAGACUCCUACGGGAGGCAGCAGUGGGGAAUAUUGCACAAUGGGCGGAAGCCUGAUGCAGCAACGCCGCGUGAGGGAUGACGGCCUUCGGGUUGUAAACCUCUUUUAGCAGGGAAGAAGCGAAAGUGACGGUACCUGCAGAAAAAGCACCGGCUAACUACGU